AGUUGAGGAAGCUGCUGAGUUAGCAUGGCGGGCGCGGGCUUUUAUCACGCAACCUUUCGUGAUGGAGCCAGUGGUUGUAUUCAUAUUGGUUUGGGUUCAGAUAGAAGAGCUCCAUGCUUACAAACUUUUGGGAUAACCGAGUUUAUCAAUGCCAAAAAAAUAAUCAUCGGGUUUUCAAGUGUAGGCAUCGUGUGAAAGCCCAGUUAGUGUUCCUGGUUUAUGAAUUUAAGAAUACAUUCUCAUCUCCCUUCUGUCUAUAUUCCAUUGUUUUAGAUUUAUAAGUGCUUUAGAUAAUUCUUGAGUGCCUGGUGCAACCUUUCCAUUUCAGGCAUCAUUUCUAAGUUGUAUGGCAUCCAUCCCGAUAAUUUGUUCUGCACCAUGCUGCCUCAUGUAGGAUUUUAGUGCUCGUAAUCUACUUUGCUUAGGUGACCUGCUCCCAAUCCUUCUUCCCCUCUUUUCUGACCUCUCUCUCUCUCUCUCUCUCUCUCUCUCUCUCUCUCUCUCUCUCUCUUUAUGAUGUUUGAUAUGUGUUUUGGUUCAAAUUUGACAUGACUUUUUGGUUGAUGCUUGGUUCAGAAAGGAACAAGUUCUAGAAUUGGUAGAAGAGUUGUCAUCCUUUGUUUUUUUUGUCAGGAUGAAUGCUUCAUAACAGGUGCAUGGAAGCACAAAAGUAGAUCAUAUAAACUACAGUUACAGUAUCAGCAAUAAGCAAGGGACAUCUCACAUGUUUCUAUCAAAAUUGUGUAUAAAUUUAAGAGCUUAGCAAGAGAAUAGCAUCUCUGUUCCGGGAGAAGAAAUUUAAGAGCUUAGUAAGAGAAUAGCAUCUCUGUUCAAAUAUUAGAGCUUAGUUUUUUGCAUAUGCAUGUAACAGCAACUCUUUUGUGUUCUGGUCUUAAAUAUCCUAUUCAUGAUACAGUAAUCUGCACCAAGCUUACUAUGAUGAAUUUCGGGCAAGGGAACCCCAUUGUUUAUGCAUCUUCUGUAACAGAAGAACGAUAUUUGGGGUAUAGUUUCGUAAUGUUUCGCCUGGAAUCCAUCUAUCCAGUCUGCUUUUUCUUUGUUCAGUUCAUCAAGGUUUGCUCCCUUCUUUUAAUGCAUUAGCUUUGUUUUCAUUAUACUCUUGUGAUGCUUGUUAGUUAAGUGAUGAUUUUACAUUCUGGAUUAGGCCAACGUGUUGUGUUAUAUUUCGCGUCGUGCUGCUUAUAUUUCGUAAUUGCUUGUGUUGUAGACCCCGGCCUGUAAGUGUAUUGAUUUUUGAUCCCAUUGCUGGUAGGUCCUGCAGGAGCGCGGCGCUUUGCUGACCAAGAAGAUUGAGAGGGGGCGCCAAUUGCUAGAGAGCGAGAAGGCCCGAACUGCUGCGUUGGAGGCCUCAGUAUCCGAUUGCAUCUCAGCCGAGGAGCAAUAUUGCGAGAUGCGUUGUCGUCUUGCGAGAUGCGUUGUCGUCUUAGCUUGGUUUGUAAGGAGGCCAGCAAUUAUCAGAGCAUCGCCGAGUUGGAUGCUUUGGAGGCCUGUUCCUGCCAGGAAUUAUUGUUGAAAACGCGAGACGCUGGGGAUUCCAACCAAAACAUUACCUCUGGUCUCCAGGCAAUGGUGCAAAAUAAGAGAGACAGAGGCCGACCUGCGGUGACAAAUCCAGUCCGUCCGGGAUGAGACUGAAGCUUCAGGGAAGCGUGAGGGCCCUUCGAUUGCCGAGGAGGCCGCCCUGUGAGAGGUCGGUCAACGCAUGUCAGUGGGACUGUGAGAUCAAUACGGCCAAAUAGCCAAGCUCCAGGAGGCCACCCGAGGUAUUCUUCCGUAAAUGUAUGUUGUGCCGGAUCAAGACAGCCUUGGUGUUGUCACUAGGCGCUGACCCGUGUGGCAGGUUCGAUGUGGAUCUCGCAGGAUGUUGAUGUCCACUUGGGUCCGUUGAUCGAACGUGUAGCUGGAGCCCGGGAUCGCUUGGUCGGCCUCCAAGAAGCGGCCGCCAAGGAAGGAGCCCGACUCGUGCUUGCACGCUUGAGGUCGCGCUGUAGCGAGGUCUCCACUCAUGUUGUUGUGACCUCCGUUCCUGAGAACCGCCCACUGACGAAUUUCUUUGAAGUCAAGGACACUGCCUUGAUGGUGGCGACUGGAUGUGAGCUUGAUGUGAGCCUGAAAGAGUAGGAACAUUUGUUGGCCGUGUGUGGCGUUAGCCAAUGUCAACUUUUUACAAUUUUUAUGUUUCAACUUUUGUAGGUUGAAUUCUUGUUUGAUGCCUUUGGGCAAAGUUUUGACUGACCAAGCGCACGUGGGAGGGCACCCCUAUUUCUCGCUUUAAGCGAGUACAGGGUGCUGCUAUAUGUCGCGUUCAGCGAGCAGGCGCGCUGCACUCGCGUCGGGUGAAGCCCCAGACGGGCCGGCUCAGUAGCGUAGGAGCCACAACCUGUUUUUCUUUUCUGUUUUCUGUUCUCAUUUUUGCUUCAUUUUUGUACUUUUAUUUAAACUUUAAAAUAUAAAAUAUUAUAUA